CUGGGCGGGAGCAAGCUCUUCCCAGGAGACAAGAGGGACAAACCAGGGCAUCUAAGCUGUGCUGCCUGCGCCCUGCCCCGCACCCACGAGGCUGGGGGGUUUGAUGCUUCCUGCAUCUGGCAGCCCAGGGUCCAGGCAGGGGCUGUCACGUGGGCACGGUCCCAAGCAAGUCACCCCGUGCUCCGAAGUUGCUCAUUCCACAGUGGCGUCUCGUGUUUGUCGUCCUGCCCAGCGUAGCC
rnacentral:lncRNA from 1 species